GUGAGUAACACGUGGGUAACCUGCCUGUAAGACUGGGAUAACUCCGGGAAACCGGGGCUAAUACCGGAUGGUUGUUUGAACCGCAUGGUUCAGACAUAAAAGGUGGCUUCGGCUACCACUUACAGAUGGACCCGCGGCGCAUUAGCUAGUUGGUGAGGUAACGGCUCACCAAGGCGACGAUGCGUAGCCGACCUGAGAGGGUGAUCGGCCACACUGGGACUGAGACACGGCCCAGACUCCUACGGGAGGCAGCAGUAGGGAAUCUUCCGCAAUGGACGAAAGUCUGACGGAGCAACGCCGCGUGAGUGAUGAAGGUUUUCGGAUCGUAAAGCUCUGUUGUUAGGGAAGAACAAGUGCCGUUCAAAUAGGGCGGCACCUUGACGGUACCUAACCAGAAAGCCACGGCUAACUACGUGCCAGCAGCCGCGGUAAUACGUAGGUGGCAAGCGUUGUCCGGAAUUAUUGGGCGUAAAGGGCUCGCAGGCGGUUUCUUAAGUCUGAUGUGAAAGCCCCCGGCUCAACCGGGGAGGGUCAUUGGAAACUGGGGAACUUGAGUGCAGAAGAGGAGAGUGGAAUUCCACGUGUAGCGGUGAAAUGCGUAGAGAUGUGGAGGAACACCAGUGGCGAAGGCGACUCUCUGGUCUGUAACUGACGCUGAGGAGCGAAAGCGUGGGGAGCGAACAGGAUUAGAUACCCUGGUAGUCCACGCCGUAAACGAUGAGUGCUAAGUGUUAGGGGGUUUCCGCCCCUUAGUGCUGCAGCUAACGCAUUAAGCACUCCGCCUGGGGAGUACGGUCGCAAGACUGAAACUCAAAGGAAUUGACGGGGGCCCGCACAAGCGGUGGAGCAUGUGGUUUAAUUCGAAGCAACGCGAAGAACCUUACCAGGUCUUGACAUCCUCUGACAAUCCUAGAGAUAGGACGUCCCCUUCGGGGGCAGAGUGACAGGUGGUGCAUGGUUGUCGUCAGCUCGUGUCGUGAGAUGUUGGGUUAAGUCCCGCAACGAGCGCAACCCUUGAUCUUAGUUGCCAGCAUUCAGUUGGGCACUCUAAGGUGACUGCCGGUGACAAACCGGAGGAAGGUGGGGAUGACGUCAAAUCAUCAUGCCCCUUAUGACCUGGGCUACACACGUGCUACAAUGGACAGAACAAAGGGCAGCGAAACCGCGAGGUUAAGC
rnacentral:rRNA from 1 species